CUUGGCACACAGCUCAGUAACAUGUGGCCAACCUGCCCUUGGGACGGAAACACCCCCGGGAAACUGGGGCUAAUUUCCGAUAGGUGAAGACUCCUGGAAUGGAUUUUCGCUCAAAGGGCGCCUGGGGCAUGCUCCUAGGCGUUGCACAAGGAUGGGGCCGCGGCCGAUCAGGUUGUUGGUGAGGUAAUGGCCCACCAAGCCUUUAACCGGUACGGGCCGUGGGAGCGGUAGCCCGGAGAUGGGCACUGAGACAAGGGCCCAGGCCCUACGGGGCGCAGCAGUCGCGAAAACUUCGCAAUAAGCGAAAGCUUGACGGGGCCAUCCCGAGUGCCAUCUGCUGAGGAUGGCUUUUACCUAGUAUAGAUAGCUGGGGGAAUAAGGAGAGGGCAAGUCUGGUGUCAGCCGCCGCGGUAAUACCAGCUCUCCGAGUUGUAGGGAUGUUUAUUGGGCCUGAAGCAUCCGUAGCCGGCUGGACAAGUCCUCUGUUAAAUCCAGCGACCAAUCGUUGGUCUGCGGGGGAUACUGUCCGGCUAGGGGGCGGGAGAGGCCGUCGGUAUUCUUGGGGUAGGGGUGAAAUCCUAUAAUCCCAGGAGGACCACCAGUGGCGAAGGCUGUCGGCUAGAACGCGCCCGACGGUGAGGGAUGAAAGCUGGGGGAGCGAACCGGAUUAGAUACCCGGGUAGUCCCAGCUGUAAACGAUGCAGGCUAGGUGUUAGGGCGGCUACGUGCCGCUCUAGUGCCGCAGGGAAGCUGUUAAGCCUGCCGCCUGGGGAGUACGNCCGCAAGGCUGAACUUAAAGGCCA
rnacentral:rRNA from 1 species